GUCCGGGUGGGUGGGUGAGACUUUGAAACGAGGCGUGUUCCUUUCCUGUGCUGCCAGAUUAUCUGGAAACAUCAACAGACCCUGGUUAUAAACUAUUUUCUUUUCCUGCUCCUCGGAUGCUGCCUGACCUGCUGUGCUUUUCCGGCACCACACUUUCAUCUCCAGCAUCUGCAGUACCCACUUCCUAACCGACCUAUGUUACUACAGGCAAGGAUGCCCUGAGAUAUGGAACAUUGAUGAGACCAAGC